CAAAUGUGCGCGUGCGUUCUGUGGUGCCGUGCGAAAUGUCGGUCUUAGUGUUAUUGCUUGUUUCGACAGCGGCGCAUGGACUUAGCGAUGAGGAGUACUCGAGGUUCCCGCGUCUAUUUCACCUGGAUGACUAUGACACCUGCCUCUCCCAGCCUGGUGGCCUCUAUUGUGUGGGCAGUUUCCACAUUACACCAGUCACUCCAGAACACCCGACUUAUGAGUUAAUGAAGGAGUACUCUGAACAUCCUUCGAACUUCAACCGGACGGUACUUUACCGCGGCUACUGUGUCAGCUCGCGAUGUGGCACUGCGUCAGAAACAAACACUUCACUGCGCUUCGAACAAUGUGCCAAUCGUUGGGGGGAAAAGUAUGCGUUCCGACUCUCGCUUCAAAAGCUCCAGUACUGCAGAUCGUUUGCCCAGGAGUUUGCAAGGAAAAAUACACAGGAGCCGAUGGAUGAACCGCAAAAGAUAUUCCUGUCCGUCGUUUGUGCCUUAUUGUUCUUCAAUUUCAUAGGAACUGCUUAUGACUUGCUACUUGGCGACGAAAGAAAAAAGAGCAAACAUUUAGUGUCGUGGUCCUUGCGCUCUAAUUGGAAUCGUCUGAUAGCUACCUAUGAGGAUGGCGACCCACGGCUCUCGGCUCUUAACCCUGUCCAGGGUGUGAGGGUGUUCCUGAUGUCUCUGACAAUACUGACCCACAGCGGCGUUAUACGUGGCUCCUUUUAUGUAUUCAACCCUCGAUUUAUUGAGGAGAUAGUCAAGUCUCCGCUACUGAUGUUGUUUUUCAAUGGCACAACUUUAAUCCAAUUCUUCUUGGUGAUGUCCAACUUCCUGCUCGCCUACAACCUGCUGCUUGCUUCAAAAACUCACGAGCUCAAACUCAAGCACCUCCCGUUGUGUAUUUUGAAACGUAUCGCUAGGAUAGCCCCAGUCUAUCUACUAGUGGUGGGAUACUCGGCAACAUGGUGGCCUUACGCCCGCAGCGGGCCCCUGUGGCCUACUCUGGUGGAGGCCGAGAGCGCCGUCUGCAGGAAGAAGUUUUGGUUCCAAGCGUUCUUUAUUAAUAACUUGGUUCAAGCUGAGGAGCAUUGUUUGGUGCAGACGUGGUUCCUAGCGGUGGAUAUGCAGCUGUAUAUCCUGGGCUCGGCUCUAACGCUGUAUCUGGCUUCUCGUCGCGACAUUGCCCUUAAAGUCCUGGGAGCACUUUUUGUAUCAUCAUUACUGCUCAACGCCGGACUUGCGUAUGCUUUUGAUUGGCAAGCUCUCGUGUACUUUGCUACGCCUGAGAACAUCCGCAAUAUGUACCUGAACGUCCCCUCGUUCUCCCGGCUGUACACGUCGCCGUGGGGCAGCCUGCCCGCUUGCUUCAUCGGUCUCUUUUUGGCACAUGUUCAUUUCGAACUUCAGGAGAAAGGACUUAAGAAGAGGGACAUUUCCUUUGUUGUGAACAUACUGUACCAGCUGGCUCCCCUGGUCCUGGUGUUCUGGGUGCUGUCGGGCACGUGGCUACGCGAGUUCAGCACGCGCGGCUUCGUUGCGUUCUACGUGGCCCUUGAGCGAAUGGUCUUCAGCUGCUUCUGUGCUUUGAUACUCUUUGGAAUGUUCAAUGGAGGAUCGAAUAUACUGAAGGAGUUUAGUGCGUGGCGCGGCUGGCACGCCAUGGGCCGCAUGUCUCUGUCGGUGCUGAUGCUGCACUGGUGUGUCAACACGAUAAUAGCACACUCUAGGCUGCAGCCGUCCACCACCACCGUUCUAGACGUGUUCGCAGAUUUUGCUGCGACGGGUUUCUACACGUAUUUGCUGGCCAUCCCUCUCACUCUUCUCGUGGAAAUGCCGAUCCAGAGGUUCAUAUCGGGACUCAUCUUGUGAUACAAUUUUAACUUUAAAAUACGCUUAAGAUUAGUAAAUGUUAAGUACAAUGUUAUGAAAGCAAACCCGAUGUAUUUAGACAUUUAAUUCAGAAUUUCCAUCUUUAGUCUCCGAAGUAAUAUUAUUUAUAGCCUGGCGGACAACACACUUUUUGGGUGCUGUGGUCUGGUUCGUCAGUAGCCUGAGCGGCGGGAUGCUUCCUGUCUUAUUGUUGUAUUAUGAUUACUGUCAUUAGAUUCUUCUCGAUUGCGGUAGACAGGUGCAAUAUGUGUGGGUGUUCCGUAAUGUGUCCCGCAAUGGGUAUUUCAAGCUGUAUCGUAGCUAUAAUCUCAACAAUGUAGAUCACGUUAAUAAUUGUAAACAAAUUAUCUAAGUCCUAUUUAGUAGUUUUAAACAAAAAUAAUGUAUUAAUAGUUUGAGUUAGGAUGAAAAUUCAGUAGGAAUAUGUUUCAAAAUAGCGCCUGACAUUAUCCGGAGGCGCGGAGUGAUUGUACUUUUUGUAAAUCGGUUUUCCUGCAGUGGCGUGACGUCACGACUAUACUGUCGCACGGGUCUUUGACGAGAUUCGUGAUGUCACAGAUUUGUGCUCAAGUAUGUAUUUGUAGUUAGUAGCAAUGGCGAUAUGAACGGUACCUAAUAUAUGUAUAUGUUUUAUUAAUCUUACAUUAGUGUUAUGACUUGAUAUUUAAGUUAUAUAUUUGCGAUUGAAUUAAUAAAGUUAUAA